rnacentral:rRNA from 1 species
GAUGAACGCUGGCGGCGUGCUUAACACAUGCAAGUCGAACGGAAAGGCUCCUGCUUGCAGGGGUACUCGAGUGGCGAACGGGUGAGUAACACGUGGGUGAUCUGCCCUGCACUUCGGGAUAAGCCUGGGAAACUUGGUCUAAUGCCGGAUAGGACUAUGGUUUGGAUGCCAUUGUGGAAAGUUUUUCGGUGUGGGAUGAGCUCGCGGCCUAUCAGCUUGUUGGUGGAGUAAUGGCCUACCAAGGCGUCGACGGGGAGCCGGCCUGAGAGGGUGUACGGCCUCAUUGGCCACGCGGGAAGGCCGAGACGCCCAAGGGUGCUAGGAGAGGCGGCAGUUGGAAAUAGGGAGCAAGGGGCAUGAAGCUGCUCCGCGUGUGCGAUGACGGUCAUGGAGUUGUAAGGGUCGUACGCCAGUGACGAAGCGGAUUAUGACGAUACCUGGAGAAGAAGCACCGGCUAACUACGUG